CAAUUGUGAUCUGCUUGAGCUUUUUGUAUGCCUAAACACAAUAGACGUGUAUUAUCCAUAUAUUGUCCAUAGUCUUAAAUUAAAAAUAUUAAUGUCAGCGGUUGUGUGACUGCUGGAAUGCAGCCAAUGUGCCUUAUUUUUUAUUUUUUUUUUAAUGGUUCUGAUUCUACACAACUUUAAAUAUGCAGAACACUACAUUUGCUCUAGGUGUCAUAGUGGCACUUCUGUGGUGCAUAAUUUUGCAUGCUCAUUCUAUUUAAUAGAAACAUAAAAGUAGCCUAAAUAGUAACCUAAUCCAAAGUAAAGUUACUAUGAUUUUAGUCUAGGUUAUGGUAUCUUCAGAAAAAGACUGCUUACUGCAACGGGUGUAUAUAUCACGGUUGUCUCCCUUCUUAGUGCAUUCCAUUCAGUAAUACUAUUUUGUAGCAACUCAAUAAAGCUGAUAGUUUUUCUGGGUAAUUACCCACAGCCCCCUGCAGGACAAAUUAGCAUUCAUGACCUGAAUAAUGCUUACUAGAAAGAGUUCAAUGGAAUUUACUUAAUCAGAAUCAUUGCUUUCUCGUGGCUACACUAUUUUUAACCUAGUCCCCAUUGUCUGCUAAUAGCAAAAACCCUGUCAGUGCCAGGUCCAACUUGGCACUGGAUGUAUAAGGGGAGAAAGAUUAUCCUCCUCAGAGGUACUUAGUGCAUUUUUAAAGCUUAUGGUCUGUAUUCUGCAGUCUUUACUUGGACUUUGCUUAGCUAAAAGUGCUUGGAAGUUGGUGGGAGAUUUGCCAGGUGACAGUGUUGAAUCAGAGAUUAUGAAAAGAAGUGUAUAUACUUUUGCUAGUUUGUCCAUGACUUAUAAUUUCUAGUAACCGCAAAGGCUGCUAAAGAGGACAUUCAAAGGUGCUUUUUCUUUUCUGGUCAUGUGAGUGGAGCAGAAGUUAUUGCUUAUUUCAUCCUAUUUUUUAAGAGUUUUUGUUUUUUCCUUUGUGGUAGUUGUUUGUUUUUUUUAAUUAUCUCUGACGUUUCCUAAAUUUCAUAAAAUAGAAAUAGCUAUUGUUGUGAUGGUUCGUGUUUUGUCUUCCCAGUUCCCAAGACUGUAGCAUGUCAAGGUUAAUAUAACACAGGUGAUCCCUUGAAUGGCUUAACCAGAUGCUCACUAAAGGGGACCAGAAGGAUUGGAAAGAUUUUCUGAAAUAUUACAAAGAUUUGGUGUAUGCAUACAUACACAACCAUCACAACCAACAAAUAAAAUCAGAAAAAUACCAAGCAGGAGUUGAACUAUCAUUUCCCAUGAAGGAAUUCACUUUAAAUGUAUUUUACUUACACAAGCUAUGUCAAUUAGAGCAUUAGGAAAUGAGAGCGAGGCCCAAACUGUACAGAACUCAAAGACUUUAUUUUCCUAUAUUUUCUGAUCAGUGCCUUCAAACUGUUGCCAAUCAUUUUUCAUUCCUAGCCAAAGCUGGACUCUU
ensembl:lncRNA